rnacentral:misc_RNA from 1 species
AACGCACGAGACCUGCGGACCUGCGGAAGGAUCAUUACCGAGUUUACAACUCCCAAACCCAAUGUGAACCAUACCAAACUGUUGCCUCGGCGGGGUCACGCCCCGGGUGCGUCGCAGCCCCGGAACCAGGCGCCCGCCGGAGGGACCAACCAAACUCUUUUCUGUAGUCCCCUCGCGGACGUUAUUUCUUACAGCUCUGAGCAAAAAUUCAAAAUGAAUCAAAACUUUCAGCAAUGGAUC